GAAGGUAACCAUUAGUGGGGAUUCAUCAGGAUGGUGGCCAGUGACAAGCGGGGUCCCCCAGGGCUCUGUCCUGGGGUCCAUCCUGUUUAAUCUUUUCAUAAAUGACAUGGAAGAAGGUGGUGAACAGUCUGAUCAAAUUCACAGGCGAUACUAAAACUGGGGCAGUGGCCACAAUGGAGGAGCAGGUACUCCAGAUCCAAAAGGAUCUAGACAGACUAUGGAAGUGGGCAGGAGACAACAGGAUGGAGUUCAAUGUGGAUAAAUGCAAGGUCCUGGGGCAUAGGAAUGGGUGUCUUAAGUACAGGUUAGGGGACAAGUGGCUAGAGAGCAGCAUUUGUGAAAGGGAUCUCGGGGUGCUGGUUGACUGCAGGCUAAACAUGAGUCAGCAGUGUGAUGUGGUGGUCAAGAGGGUGAACGCCACCCUUGGUUGCAUGGCCAGAAGCAUGGCUUCUAGAUCGAGAGAGGUAGCACUCCCAUUCUAUACGACUCUGGUGUACCCGUAACUGGAAUACUGUGUUCAGUUCUGGGCUCCACAUUACAGGAAGGAUAUAGCCAGGUUAGAGUCACCAAAGUGGCAGGUCGAGCCCGGGUUGGUUUUGAUCUGAUAAAUGCACACAUUCCCGCAGGUCAGCGCUCAUUGGCAUGUAUUAGCUCUAGAAUUACCACAGUUAUCCAAGUAACAGUUGGAGCAACCA